rnacentral:tRNA from 1 species
GGCGGGUUGCCCGAGCGGCCAAUGGGAGCGGACUGUAAAUCCGUCGGCUUACGCCUCCGAAGGUUCGAAUCCUUCACCCGCCACC